GGCCCCAUGGUCCAACGGCCAGGACACCCGACUGUCUAUCGGGAGGUCGGAGUUCGAUUCUCCGUGGGGUCGCCA
rnacentral:tRNA from 1 species